AAGACAUAACACUAGUUAUGUCUUAUACAGCAAAAAGUAAUAUAUAUAUAUUUUUUAAUAAUAUAUAUUUACAUUUAAGGUAUUUAUAUAUAUAUAAAUAAACUGAUAAUUUUUUAUCCCAAUGAAGUAUUUUCAUAAUGCAGUUUGAUACAGGUAAGUAGGGCUAAAAAGCAGAAUAUAUAAUGUUCCAUUUUUUUCUUUGGACCCUUUAAAAAACCUGAUGUCCUGCCAAACCUCCUUAUUUACCUUACACCUUCUCAUAAAGCCUGCAGGUUAUAUCUUGUGAUAAAUAAUGAUAAAUAAUGUUAGUGAUAAUAUAUCUGAUUUACUUUAAACUCUUUUUGUGUUAUAUGUUAACAUCUACCUAUUUUUGCAGAUGCAAUCAAUUAAUGUACAAAAAGGUGACACAAUAAAAGUUAUUCUGUACACUUCAUAUUCUGAUUUGCUAGCAAAAUGUGGCAGUAAGUUCCCAUGUUCCUCCAGCAAUUCGCUACAGUUGUAUGAUGCUUCUGGUGCAGAAAUCGAUGAUGGAGAAACCCUAGAUUUUUUAGUUAAAAAUAAUAAUUUGAAACAAGUGUUUUUGCAACGUCAAGUGCCAAGUUUUACAAUAAACGCAUCACCAGAAGAAAUUGUAGGAAAUAAAACUAUUUCUGCAAAACAAUGGCCAGGAUUGAAAUUUGAAAUCCCAACAGAUGCAAUUGUGGAAGCAAGGCUUACAUCUGGGAUAAUUGAUGCCAAAUCAAUAGUAGCAGACGGUCAAUUUAUGAACCACUGGGUUGGGAUAAUUUUUCAUAAAGUAUUGGAAUAUGUUGAUCAACAAAAUCCAUAUUUAAAUGGAAUUCAAUUAAAUGAGCUGGUGAUGGUUAUUAACGAGAAAUACCCAGAGUUUAAAGCUGCUCAAUAUUCAAGAUGCUUUCACGAAAGAAUUAUCAACAGGUUUAAAAAUUAUAGAAGAAAAAUGAAUUGUACUUCUGUCAUUGAAAAGCAAAAGAAAUAUGCUAAAGCUGCUGUGACAAAAGCUAUGAAGAAAGCAGUAAGUGACAGUGUUAUCAAAGAACCAUUAAGACUCAUGACCAAUAUAAAUGCAAUAUCUAAAGUUGUAAAUGAGGCAUAUCUUGUCACAAUUUCAAACAGUGUUCAAACCUCACUUGAAGCAGAACUUGUAAUGGAAACAUCUUUCACACAACGAAAUAAUGCAAGAGAAACUGUUUGCUUUUUAACAGAAUUUGAAUUAUUCAAGUCCUAUUUUUUGUCAGCUGAAAAUGUAUAUAAUGAGAGCAAGAGAAUGCUACAAGUGUACCAGUUAAAUGAGAGCUCACCAUACAAAGAUAAUGGAUUAGACUUUGAAGGGGUUCAAGUUUUAAUGAAAGAUUCUCUUAGAAAUAUUUGCAUUAAAUGGGCCCCAUUUUUAAAGAGAUAUUCAUCUCUUCUUAAUCUGGUAAAGAUGGUUAACCCUACUAUGGCUACUUCUGAUUCAAAUAUAAUCGGAUUUCAAUUUAUUGUAGCUAGAUGUCGUCAAAAAGUAGAAGAAUUUACUGAAAAGAAUAUGAUUCGUCUUCAAUACGAAAAUGGAGAUUUUGCUGUUACGUUUGAUAAAUUUUCUAUUCCUUGUGCAAACUUAAUUGAAGUUCUUCUUGUCAGCUCAUCGUUAAGUGUGGGCUUUAAUUUGAUACAUUGCAGAAAACAAGAGGCAGUAUUUGAAAUAUUGGAAAUAAUAAUGCAUAUUAGAAAAAAGAGUAACAUUAAAAUUGUUUAUAAUAAAUGGAGAACCACUAUGGGUUGAAGAAAAUAUUGAACUUCUUCCUACCAAAAGUAUUGGAGAGAAAGAACUGUCUCUAUUGAGAAUUCUUUCUCUUCAUAUACAGAAAAUCGUUCAUCUGGAGAGUGGAACUUAUUUUACCAAUUUAAUUCAAUUUCUGUUAAUUGUAAAAAACUUGUUUAAUUGUAAAAAACUUGUUUAAUUGCAAAAAACUAAUGAGGCAUAAGCAUAUCAAGUCGUUAGCAGUCGAUUAAAUUUUCAAAGUUACAAAAAAACACUUUAAAAACUUGUAUUACAACUUUAUUUUAAAUAUAUGCAUUUUUUUUUAUUGAUAAUUUGUAUUUGUUGUAACACGCUUAUAUAAAUUUUUAAAUUCCUAAUGUGUAUUUAAUAUAAAAUUUUAAAUGACAGGUUGCUUUGUAAAACAUAUGUUUUACAUAAUAUAUUUAUUAUGACGCUCAUAAAACUUAUCUUU
rnacentral:misc_RNA from 1 species